GUGGAUAUCAGGGGAACAUUCACGCAGGUAGCCCACGGUGUUUACGGGACAAGGCGUGGUCAAAUGAAGCAAGUGGUCACAGUGCUUCUCAUACGCAUGCGUGAGAAAGAAAGUGCGUUUUAGUAUGAUAACUGGACCGGAGAGAGAGAGAGAGAUUAUGAGGGCUGUACACAACUGUUGUUUUAAUCCCCAGAGCGAGGAGAUUUGGCGAAAAACCAACGGGCUUUAACCUCAGCAGCCAUAUUGUAAAGGAAAACGACGGAAAAUAAUCAUUUUUUACUUUAGAAAGUCAUCUUUUAAAGGAAAACCCUUGCCAAAACUUUUGGAAGAGUUGCUUGUCAACUCACUGGCGGUUGUAUUCAAUCCAGCAGUUUGCAGUCCAGCUGGCUGAGGAAUCUUGAAUUUUAAGACUGUAGCCUACGCUUGUAUCCCUUAGAAUUAUAAAUUUUCUUAGAGUAAUUGUAAUACGCGGUAAAUUGUCGGGAAAAUGAAGGACCGAUUGGAGCAACUCAAAGCGACCUGCGACAAUGACGAUGAGGAUGUGGAAAUCGCCGUGGACAAUGCAGCGUUCAUGGAUGAGUUCUUCUCUCAGAUCGAAGACAUCCGAUCCAGCAUCGACAAGAUUGACGAGAACGUGGCUGAAGUCAAGAAGCUCUACUCUGUCAUCCUCUCGGCUCCCACGUCAGAGCAGAAAACGCAGGACGACUUGGAGGCCAUCACCAACGACAUCAAGAAGAUGGCCAACAACGCCCGCAAUAAGCUCAAGACCAUCGAGAGGAAUCUGGAGUCCGAGGAGGAGGAGCGAGUUUCGGCGGACACACGCAUACGUAAAUCGCAGCAUGCCGUGCUGUCCAGGAAGUUUGUGGAGGUGAUGACCAAGUACAACGAGGCCCAGGUGGACUUCAGGGAGAGGAGUAAAGGACGCAUCCAGAGACAGCUGGAGAUCACCGGUAAAGCGACAACAGAUGACGAGCUUGAAGAGAUGCUGGAGAGCGGGAAUGCUGCCGUCUUCACUGCAGGGAUUGUGGACUCGGGGAUCUCAAAGCAGGCUCUCAAUGAGAUCGAGGCGCGGCACAAAGACAUCGUGCGGCUGGAGAGCAGCAUUAAGGAGCUCCACGACAUGUUCAUAGACAUUGCCAUGCUGGUGGAGAGCCAGGGUGAAAUAGUAAACAACAUAGAGAUCCAGGUAUCUAAAUCCGUGGACCACAUAGCAGUGGCCAAGUCUGAGACCAAAAAAGCCAUCAAGUACCAAAGCAAAGCACGCAAGAAGAAGAUCAUUUUGGCUGUGGUCUGUGCCGUGCUUGCCGUCCUCCUCCUCGCCAUCAUCCUAGGAACGACAUUAUAGAGGAGCCCCGCCCCCCCCCCCCCUCCCCACCUACCUAUCUUCAUCGUCAUCAUCAUCACCAUCAUCACUCCAGUCCCUCUCUCCGACCUCUGACCUCCAGCCAUCAUGUCCAGAAUCAGGGGACAUGGACUCAGCCAAUCACGCCUCUCGUCCACAGACACACCACCUCUCCCUCUGACCAAUAAGGAAUGGUUCAGCGUGGAGGGUUCCUGGUUAGAGCAGGCCGGUGUCCUCGGGGUGUCAGUGUCUCACCUGGACGAGAGGCGGGGCUAAAGGGAGAGACCUGGCAACGGUCAAAGUACUUACUACGGAGAACAAGGGAAUUUUUAUUAGUGGAAAUCUUGUAGCAUUUUACACAUCCGAAUGUACAGUAUAUCAUGUCGUUAAAUCGUAAUUCUAUUUGUUAUGAAAGAAAUUUAUUAUUCUGUAAUAUAUAAAACUAUUUAAUUUCCUCUUGAUCUACUGUCCGCUCACUGAAUGACUGGAAGGACACUCCAAACUUGUGUUGUGUGAAUCACCAAUCCCUCCUCCCUCCACCCCACUAAGGCAAAUCUGUGUUCCGCCCUCUACUGUAUUAUAUAACCCAUAAGGGAUUGGUGUUUUGUUUGUGUUAAAGAGGAGACCCAGCAGGAUUCUAUCUUGUUGAGGAACCUGAUCCCUAAUUAACUGCCAGAGAAUCAACUGUUGGUUCUGUAGUGUGUUCUUGACUCAGUAAAGCACACACACACACACACACAGCCUUUUGGCCUGAGUGGUUAAGAAAGCUGUCUGGAGUUUUGAGUCUUUCAGAUUGAGCUCUGCCCCCUCCCCUAUACACCCUGUCCCUCCUCAAUGUUGUCUUAGGGACAGUGUGUCCAAUGGCGAGGCUUGAAAUGAAACAGGAAGUGAUAAGCCCAUUCAAAGUGAACCAUAGUGUUAUGGUGCCAAAGGUUUAAAUACGGAAUUAAAAGGUUUCUUGUUUUUUUUAUGAUGUGGUCAGUGUUUUAUCUGCAUGUGAUCAUGGUGUGUGUAAGAGAGAGAGAGAGAGAGAGAGCGAGCAGUGUGAGAUGGAGAGACAGCAGCACCUAGUUUAGUCCCUGUGUGCCAAGAACAGGUAAGACUGUACACACACAUAAAUAUAUACACACACAUUUUCCCCUCUCCUGUUUCUCCUUGGAUUUUUCUUUGACCCCACUCUUCCGUCCCUCAAGGAGUUCCAGGAAAUGGAUAAGCUUGUGUGCUCGUGUUUGAAUUCGUUUUCUAGAGAUUGUAUGGCUAUGACAGACGUCUUUGAAUUUGAAAUGGUAAUUGUAGGCAGGUGAUAGCUGAACAUGUGGCGUAGGUAUUCUGCUUCAAUCCCUAUCUGGGCCAUUAGUCCAGAUGCAUAUCUCUAUUUGUUUGGGCCUUGCAUAUUUUCUCUACUCCUCACACUCUUCUCUUUGUCCUCGCCUUUCUCGGGUUGUCACACCUAUCUUCCUCCUGUCACACGCUGCAGAAGAAGAUGAUGAUCAUGCUGUGCUGUUCCAUUCUCGGAAUCGUCGGGUUUUCCUAUCUGUACAGCUUUUUCUCAUAGGGGAUUAAAAGCAGGAUGAAAUGUUUUACGUUGGUCGGAUGGUUUAUGACUGAAUUGUACCUCUUCUUUCCUUACUGUUAAUAUCUAAAAGGAAUAAUAAAGAUGUGGGCCAUUCAUUUAUCUUUUUUCCCUCCUCUUCACACCUGCCCAACCUUUGUAUGAAGUGUAGCAAAACUUGUCAUAGUUGUUUAAUGUAUUUUAAUCUAGCCCUCCCAAUGAUCCUAUUGACACGGAUUUUGAUAUCCAGUCUACGGAUCCUAAUUUGGACUGUUGUUAUGAAAUCGUCCCAUGGAUUGUGAGAAUGUCACCACCUGGUGGAUAAUUAUAAAAACUAACUUGAAACCAAUAUUUGAUGAGUGAAGUAAAUGCGUACAAAAUGUGUGUUAUGUUUGACCAAAAUUGUGGUCGAUUAUAUUAUAGUACUACUAGCUGUGCUUUAUGGUCGUUAGUUUUUUUUUCUUCACGUAGGCAAUGAUUGUAUGUGCUUGUCACGCGAUGUUAAUAUGUAUGCUGUCCGUGUGUACUGUGUUGGUGGAAGGGCUGAUGGUCUUUCAAGUAACAGUGCUUUGUCACUCAUUCAGUGGGAUUGUGUCAGCCAAGUAAAGCUUGUUACAUAAUAAAAUAUUGUGUGUGUGCGUGUGGUAUUAA